UAUUACUAUGCUGUAGGACAUAAUAUAAAAUUUGACUCAAUUAUUUUUUUUUUUAGAUUGAUCCAAAUGCUAUUGAAAAAUUUGAACAUUUUCCCUUGUCGGCACCAACAUUAAAGGGAUUGAAAGAUAACAAAUACUUUGUGCCUACUGAAAUACAACGUGAAAGCAUUGGUUAUAGUCUACGUGGUGAGGAUAUAUUAGGUGCAGCAAAGACUGGUAGUGGUAAAACACUAGCCUUUUUAAUACCGGUAUUGGAAAUAUUGUAUUGUAACAAAUGGAAUCGUACUGAAGGAUUAGCAGCACUAAUCAUAACUCCUACCAGAGAAUUAGCAUAUCAAAUAUUUGAAACGUUACGUAAGAUUGGUAUCCACCACGAUUUUUCUGCAGGCUUAAUCAUUGGUAAGUGUCACAUUUUACAAAAUAUAAAUGGUGUAGAGGCAAAAUAGAGUCAACAAACAAUAUGGAUCUUAAAUUAAGUAAUUGCUAUAAAAUAGUGUAGAUA